CAAUAGCGUAUAUUAAAGUUGUUGCAGUUAAAAAGCUCGUAGUUGAACUUCUGACUAUUGCGUAAGCUGGAUUCGUUCGCUCUCGUGAUAGUCAUCCGCUUGGGAACUCCGUUCGAACUUAACUGUUUGGCGGAGGGAACAGGCAUUUUACUUUGAAAAAAUUAGAGUGUUCAAAGCGGGCUUACGCUUGAAUAUUUCAGCAUGGAAUAACACUAUAGGACUCCUGUCCUAUUUCGUUGGUCUCGGGACGGGAGUAAUGAUUAAGAGGAACAGUUGGGGGCAUUCGUAUUUCAUUGUCAGAGGUGAAAUUCUUGGAUUUAUGAAAGACGAACUUCUGCGAAAGCAUUUGCCAAGGAUGUUUNCAUUA
rnacentral:rRNA from 1 species